AUUGAACGCUGGCGGAAUGCUUUACACAUGCAAGUCGAACGGUCCAUGGUUAAGCUGACGAGUGGCGAACGGGUGAGUAAUACAUCGGAACGUGCCCAGUCGUGGGGGAUAACGUAGAGAACUUUACGCUAGUACCGCAUACGAUCUAAGGAUGAAAGCGGGGGACCGUAAGGCCUCGCGCGAUUGGAGCGGCCGAUGUCAGAUUAGGUAGUUGGUGGGGUAAAGGCCUACCAAGCCGACGAUCUGUAGCUGGUAUGAGAGGGCGACCAGCCACACUGGGACUGGGACACGGCCCAGACUCCGACGGGAGGCAGCAGUGGGGAAUUUUGGACAAUGGGCGCAAGCCUGAUCCAGCCAUUCCGCGUGCAGGAUGAAGGCCCUCGUGUUGUAAACUGCUGUUGUACAGAACGAAAAGGUCUGGUUUAAUACCCUGGGCUCAUGACGGUACUGUAAGAAUAAGCACCGGCUAACUACGUGCCAGCCGCCGCCGUAA
rnacentral:rRNA from 1 species